CCCAAACUGUGGGGAUAAUGACCAGGUUCAUCAAUGUGAGAGAGUGAAACAUUUACAGACUGUGAACUCGCCCAGCUCUCUCAGGACAGGAUUUCCGGCUGGUCUGCAGAGGGAGUGCUGAUCAUUCAUCACACCUUUCACAGGAUCCAGAAUCUCCUCUAUGGACACAAAGUAACCCCGCCCACCAUGCUGAUGGACACUCUGGCCACACCCCCAGGAAAGAGAAGGUUAAACAGCAGA